rnacentral:rRNA from 1 species
GAACGCUGGCGGCAGGCCUAACACAUGCAAGUCGAGCGGAUGAAGGGAGCUUGCUCCUGGAUUCAGCGGCGGCCGGGUGAGUAAUGCCUAGGAAUCUGCCUGGUAGUGGGGGAUAACGUCCGGAAACGGGCGCUAAUACCGCAUACGUCCUGAGGGAGAAAGUGGGGGAUCUUCGGACCUCACGCUAUCAGAUGAGCCUAGGUCGGAUUAGCUAGUUGGUGGGGUAAAGGCCUACCAAGGCGACGAUCCGUAACUGGUCUGAGAGGAUGAUCAGUCACACUGGAACUGAGACACGGUCCAGACUCCUACGGGAGGCAGCAGUGGGGAAUAUUGGACAAUGGGCGAAAGCCUGAUCCAGCCAUGCCGCGUGUGUGAAGAAGGUCUUCGGAUUGUAAAGCACUUUAAGUUGGGAGGAAGGGCAGUAAGUUAAUACCUUGCUGUUUUGACGUUACCAACAGAAUAAGCACCGGCUAACUUCGUG